rnacentral:rRNA from 1 species
CAUCCUCCAAGGCUAAAUACUCCUGACUGACCGAUAGUGAACCAGUACCGUGAGGGAAAGGCGAAAAGAACCCCGGCGAGGGGAGUGAAACAGAACCUGAAACCGUGUACGUACAAGCAGUGGGAGCCCCACCACUAAGCCAGUGGUGAGAACCCAUGACGCAUCCUUUGCUGAGGAUACGGUUAACGGAGCGAAAGCGACGUUCAACCGCAAAAGAAGCAGAGGGGGCUUAGUGGUGGGGUGACUGCGUACCUUUUGUAUAAUGGGUCAGCGACUUAUAUUCUGUAGCAAGGUUAACCGCAUAGGGGAGCCGGAGGGAAACCGAGUCUUAACCGGGCGUUAAGUUGCAGGGUAUAGACCCGAAACCCGGUGAUCUAGCCAUGGGCAGGUUGAAGGUUGGGUAACACUAACUGGAGGACCGAACCGACUAAUGUUGAAAAAUUAGCGGAUGACCUGUGGCUGGGGGUGAAAGGCCAAUCAAACCGGGAGAUAGCUGGUUCUCCCCGAAAGCUAUUUAGGUAGCGCCUCGUGAAUUCAUCUCCGGGGGUAGAGCACUGUUUCGGCUAGGGGGCCAUCCCGGCUUACCAACCCGAUGCAAACUGCGAAUACCGGAGAAUGUUAUCACGGGAGACACACGGCGGGUGCUAACGUCCGUCGUGAAGAGGGAAACAACCCAGACCGCCAGCUAAGGUCCCAAAGUCAUGGUUAAGUGGGAAACGAUGUGGGAAGGCCCAGACAGCCAGGAUGUUGGCUUAGAAGCAGCCAUCAUUUAAAGAAAGCGUAAUAGCUCACUGGUCGAGUCGGCCUGCGCGGAAGAUGUAACGGGGCUAAACCAUGCACCGAAGCUGCGGCAGCGACACUUAAGUGUUGUUGGGUAGGGGAGCGUUCUGUAAGCCUGUGAAGGUGGCCUGUGAGGGUUGCUGGAGGUAUCAGAAGUGCGAAUGCUGACAUAAGUAACGAUAAAGCGGGUGAAAAGCCCGCUCGCCGGAAGACCAA